UACGUAGGGUGCAAGCGUUAAUCGGAAUUAUUGGGCGUAAAGCGCACGUAGGCGGUUCGUUAAGUCGGAUGUGAAAGCCCUCGGCUCAACUGAGGAAGUGCACCCGAAACUGGCGAGCUUGAGUACGAAAGAGGAUCGCGGAAUUCCCGGUGUAGAGGUGAAAUUCGUAGAUAUCGGGAGGAACACCGGUGGCGAAGGCGGCGAUCUGGGUCGAUACUGACGCUGAGGUGCGAAAGCGUGGGGAGCAAACA
rnacentral:rRNA from 1 species